UGAAAACUUCUUUAAGACUUUGGGGACAUCAGAUAAAAUACUUUUACUUCAAAGUGGGACGACCAUGUGACUCAAGCAGUUGUAGGGAUCCCUUUUUACAGGAGGAAACUGAGACCCAGAGGCGCUACGAGACUCGCCCAGAAUCACAGGACUGGUAAAUGUAAGAGCCAGGAAGGAACCCCAGGACCCCUGUGCUAUUUGGAAGAUUGGAAGUGAUGGGGUUUUGUGCACAUACUCAGAAAGAUGCCUCCCAAACUCCAUCCCCAGCCCCAUUAAACCUAGUACAUCAUGCUGCCUCCACUUGGCCGGUAUUACUGACCCUUCCCACGCGCGCGUGCGGCACAAUCCCUCUUCAAAGCCUCCAGCCCCAUUCGGAGGCGAGCUGAGGCUUCUAGGCAAGGUCCCCGUUUGGCAUGAGAACGCGAGCUGCAGUUGAAAACAACAUAUAAAGGAAAUGAAGCAAACCGCCCAGAGCCACACGGAUCCUGGCCGCUGGUCCAUGCCGUUUCUGGACCCUGAAAACUUCUGCUUCCCAAAUCUCCUCGAACCCCUCCAAGACCUGAGUUUGCCUGAGACCUGAAAUUUCAGCCUCCUUGGAUCAGUUGACCCUAAGCACUGAAAGGAGAGGAAUUAGGGGGAGGAGAUAGAAAAAGAAGAUCCAGUGCUUGAGAACGUUCCAGCUAUAAGGAGACUGUGAUGUCUUGAAGGCAAGGACAGUGGUUUUUCUUUGCUUCCCUACCACUUAGCACAGUGUCUGGAAUUUGGUAAGAGUUUAAUAAAUGCCAUUUGA